rnacentral:rRNA from 1 species
CAGGGAAAGCGGGGGAGGGGUUGACAGGGAUGAUUCGGAAGUGUAGGAUCAAACGGUUGACUCUUUCGGGGAGAAAAAAGCCCUGAAGAGAAAGACGCCCUGUGGAAACGCAGGGAGAGCGUCUCGGAUCAUUGACAACUAAAUAGGAGCAGCAACGUCCAAUUAAAGGGCCCUGAUCACGAAACACAGUAAUAAAAUGAAUCUGGAGAGUUUGAUCCUGGCUCAGAACGAACGCUGGCGGCGUGCCUAACACAUGCAAGUCCAACGUGAAAGGGGAGCAAUCCCCCGGUAGGGUGGCAAACGGGUGAGUAAUACAUGGGUGAUCUACCUUAGGGAU